rnacentral:miRNA from 1 species
GAAAGGCAGAGAGAGAGAGAGAGAGAGAGAGAGAGAGAGAGAGACAUGCCUGAUUUCUGCUGGAAUCUCAUUCCAAAAGAAAAUGUGAACCCUGGCUUAAGCGCUUGAAACUCCUGGAAUCUCACACUGCUCAGAGAUUGGGGUGAAAUGCAACUCUCUCUCUCUCUCUCUCUCUCUCUCUCUCUGUGUGUGU